GAAACUUCGGUGGAAAUAGCUUGUUCCUAGUGGCGGACGGGUGAGUAACGCGUGGGUAACCUGCCUCACACUGGGGGAUAACAGUCAGAAAUGACUGCUAAUACCGCAUAAGCGCACGGGGCCGCAUGGCUCAGUGUGAAAAACUCCGGUGGUGUGAGAUGGACCCGCGUUGGAUUAGCCAGUUGGCAGGGUAACGGCCUACCAAAGCGACGAUCCAUAGCCGGCCUGAGAGGGUGGACGGCCACAUUGGGACUGAGACACGGCCCAGACUCCUACGGGAGGCAGCAGUGGGGAAUAUUGCACAAUGGGGGAAACCCUGAUGCAGCGACGCCGCGUGAAGGAAGAAGUAUCUCGGUAUGUAAACUUCUAUCAGCAGGGAAGAAAAUGACGGUACCUGACUAAGAAGCCCCGGCUAACUACGUGCCAGCAGCCGCGGUAAUACGUAGGGGGCAAGCGUUAUCCGGAUUUACUGGGUGUAAAGGGAGCGUAGACGGAGCAGCAAGUCUGAUGUGAAAGGCGGGGGCUCAACCCCCGGACUGCAUUGGAAACUGUUGAUCUUGAGUACCGGAGAGGUAAGCGGAAUUCCUAGUGUAGCGGUGAAAUGCGUAGAUAUUAGGAGGAACACCAGUGGCGAAGGCGGCUUACNUGGACGGUAACUGACGUUGAGGCUCGAAAGCGUGGGGAGCAAACAGG
rnacentral:rRNA from 1 species